GACGAUCCGUGCGAACGUUGUUCGGAAUCACUGGGCUUAAAGGGAGCGUAGGCGGGCUGUCAAGUCUAGGGUGAAAUCCCGCGGCUCAACCGUGGAACUGCCUCAGAUACUGACGGCCUCGAGGGAGGUAGGGGCGUGCGGAACUGUGAGUGGAGCGGUGAAAUGCGUUGAUAUUCACAGGAACUCCGGUGGCGAAGGCGGCGCGCUGGACCUCUUCUGACGCUGAGGCUCGAAAGCUAGGGGAGCGAAUGGG
rnacentral:rRNA from 1 species